CCGACCUUAGCUCAGUUGGUAGAGCGGAAGACUGUAGAUCUUUAGGUCGCUGGUUCGAUUCCGGCAGGUCGGA
rnacentral:tRNA from 2 species